GACGAACGCUGGCGGCGUGCUUAACACAUGCAAGUCGAGCGGUAAGGCCCUUUCGGGGGUACGACGAGCGGCGAACGGGUGAGUAACACGUGGGUGACCUGCCCUCAGCUCUGGGAUAAGCCUGGGAAACCGGGUCUAAUACUGGAUAUGACUCCAUGACGCAUGUUGUGGGGUGGAAAGCCUUGUGCGGCUGAGGAUGGGCCCGCGGCCUAUCAGCUUGUUGGUGGGGUGAGGGCCUACCAAGGCGACGACGGGUAGCCGGCCUGAGAGGGCGACCGGCCACACUGGGACUGAGACACGGCCCAGACUCCUACGGGAGGCAGCAGUGGGGAAUCUUGCGCAAUGGGCGAAAGCCUGACGCAGCGACGCCGCGUGAGGGAUGAC
rnacentral:rRNA from 1 species